UUUCACUUCAUUUCAUCAAUCCAUUUAGUAAAUACAUGUUGUGGGCAGCCAUGAUGGUCUUUAAAUUUUAUUAAAAUCACCACAAAUAAACCCUAACCAUGGCUGCCAUGAAUCUAGGAUUUCCAUCCAAAUGGUAUUCAACAAUUUGUUUCUUUGCAAUUUACACAUAUUCAAAGUUCUUAACAUGAAUUUAAAGAAAAAUUCAUGGUUGGGUCACUAACCU
rnacentral:misc_RNA from 1 species